UUUUCUGUAGUGUAGUGGUUAUCACGUUUGUUCACACGCGAAAGGUCACUGGUUCGAAACCAGGCGGAAACA
rfam:Salmo salar isolate Sally breed double haploid chromosome ssa06, whole genome shotgun sequence.